GGAACCAGAGCUCAGAGCGCUGGGAAUGCUUCCCUGCCCCAUGGAGCAUCCCUGUUAUGCCUGAGUGCUGCAGGGGGAAGCAGGCAAUGCCAUCCCCAUCCCCUGUGCCCCGUCGGUGUGGUGGUGUUCCCUCGCAGGGAAGAGAGGAUGCUGCUCUGCCAAAGGUCCCCUUGGAUGCUCCAGGUGAUGCCCCAAUUCACUUUCGCUUGCUUCUGCGGGCUGCAUGGCUUCUGCAAGAUGAAGAGGAAGAAGGAGGAGCCCAGUGCAGAGCAGGAGACGGCGGUGUGAGCAGCUGGGACAGGAGUGGGACAUCGGAGCUGCUGGGGGACAUUGGCUGUCCCCUCUCCUGUCGCCUCUAUAGGGAUCCCUGUGCUGCAGAGACAUUUGCCUGGCCAGGAGGGAGCUGAAACAUGGGAGUGCCCAAACUGGGAGGCACCAGCCAGCAUUGCAGACAUUAUUGGGGUGCUGCAGCCAUCCUGCCACAUGCACCGAGCCCUCUGCACCCCAACAGCUGCAGUCAGAGGAGGAUUCCCCACUGCCCUGCCCUCACCCCAGCACUGCUCUGCAGACAAACCCUAAAAGGGUUUCCGAAAUCCGGAGCCAGCCCAUGUCCUGCAUGGAUUAAUAGUGCUUGGGGGUGGGCUGCCUCAGGGUGGUAAGUGCUCUCACGGCUGCAGAAUUGGCUGAACGUACAAGCAAGCUCUAUUUUUAAUGUAUUUAAUUAUUAUUUAUUAAGUUUUUCUCAAGCAAAUGUCUGGGACUGCAAGAAGCCAAUCUUCACCUCUCAGCCAUGCCUGGCUCUGUAGCUGCAGCACAGCAGAGCCUGAUGGGGACACCAAGCACACCACCAGGCUCGUGCAGGGGACACAGUGGUGGUGGCAUUCAUUCCUGUGCCACUGAGCAAUGCAGUCCAACAGGAGCCGGUUCAUGGUUGGCACAAAGGCCAACAGCCUCCAGGUGGUGUCACUGGGGGCUCUCUGCAGGGACAUUUCUGGCACAACCUUGUCCUCCAGAGCAGAAAUCCUUAAGUUCUUCCACCCGCUGUUUCCCUUCUCUAUAUGCAGAACCCAAUCACAGGAGGAUGAAAGCGAUGCUCACGGGUGCCAGGCAGGAGAUGCACACCCCUAGGGCUGCUCCUGCUCCCACUGCCUUCGUCUGGCACUGUGUGGCUGUUCCUGAGGUCCCCUGGAUCCCCAUUUCCCCUCCACCCUCUCUGUGCAUCCUUCCUACCUACGGUUAAAGCCAUACAGGAGCUCCCCACAUUCUGUGCCUUUCAGGGACUGUCCUACAGAUGUUCUCCAGCAGCCGACCCCUGGUGAGGGUCCCCACAGAUCUGGGGACAUUGCUGAGGUCUCGGUGUCACGAUGCUGGGCUCCAGCCUGCAUCCUUGGCCCCAUUUAUACCCAAAAUUCAAGAUCUCAUUUCAGACACUGGAGCCUCGGUGCUGCCAUGGCCAAGAAUUGAGAAAAGCAGGAGGGACAGCUCGUGGGGAAGGGCAAAUAACUGGGGGACACGUCUCUGGAGCAGGGGGCAUGGACUGCAGCAGCCUGACACCCCCUGGGAGCUCCCACAGAAGGGGCUGAGCAAACUUAGAGAGCAAUUCCCCCCCCCUGCCUUGUUAAGCAGCUCGACUUUCCCAGGGCUCUCAGAGCACAUUUGCACAUGACAAACAGAGCUGUAGCCACCAGUGACAGCUGCCCUAUGGAGAUCUGUUGGCUCAGCCAACACCCAGAACCAACACAGCCAGUAUUUUAUUUUCUCAUCUGAAGGAUUUAGGACAAAAAGCAGCCAGAAGUGCCAAGAACAGAAGGUGCAGCUGAGGAGCUCUAAAUCCUCUCCGCUGCUGUGUGCCUGUGGGCUGUGGUGGGAAGCAGUGGAUGGAUGCUGGCUGUGGGAUGGCAGCAAUGCCUGGUCCCUGUGCACCUACCCCAGGGUUGGGGGCACUCAGAGGGCAGUUUGCUUCUCCCCUCUCUGAGCUCAGGUGAUGUGAACUGAGUGAUUCCUUGCUGGGCUCCGGGUGUUGGCCAGGUGUCCCUGCCUUCAUCACUGUGGAGCUCAGCAGAUUUCAGCCUGGCAAGCACAGAUCAGUGGGAAAUGCUGUGGUUAAUGCAGGCUGUAAUGUGUCCUCUGGGAGCUCUGAGGCUGCAGCAGCCUUUUACUUUGCAGUGCACACAGAGGCUCCCAGGGAAGCUGAAGACACCAAGGUUAAUGCUGAUGCAACCACCUUUGGGUUCAGCUGUUGGUGCCCCACUCCUGGGGGCACACAGUUGGUUCCCCCUAGUGAAGAUGUGGGGUGAUGACCCCUCUCAGGGCUCUUUUGGCAGCAGGGUGAGAUUCAGGGAGAUGAUGGGCAGCUUUUGCUCAGUCGGGUUUCACAGAGGCUAAAAUAUUGCUGUGGGUUGCGGGAGAGGUUCGUGACCUCAAAACCCUCACUGCUAAACCUCUUAGACUGCAGAUCCAUCACAGUUUGGCAGCAGAGGAUGUGCAGCUAACAGCUGCUCCGAAGCUCUGUGUCAAGCUGGAUGCACAGAGAGCAUCCCUGCAAAGGAUUCUGUGCAUGGAGGGAGUGCUCUGAGGGCUCCUGGGUGUUAAGAGAUGAGCUGGGAACUCUGCUGCAGGCUCUGCACUCAUGCUAUGCACUCACUGUGCAUGCUCUCCAUGGCACAUGCAUGCUGCACACACUGCACAUGGUGCAUGCCCAGCACACACUGCUCUGUGCACACACUAUGCACACACUGCUCGUGCCAUGCACGCCUGCAUGGUGCACACCACCACGUUGCACACUGGCUGUGUGCAGCAGCUCUGUGCUUGCUCAGGAGCACACCGUGGUUGCACACUGGCAGCUCUGUGCCUGCUUGGACUGUCCCUGUGUCUCUAGUGCUCCCAUCUCCAGUGAAUGAAUGUAGGAUUUGAAAGCAAGACAGGCAGAUGCUCACCUACACCCAUUACAUGUGCAUGUGAAAACACAAUAAAUUAAGCAGGUGCAGCCUGAAUGCUCAGGAGCCCGAGCUACAGUUAUUUUUAAAGUGAACUUCCCACCUCCCUGCACGGAUGGAGCUCUCAGAGCAACAAUAUGUUUUCCACCGUGGCUCCGAGCAAAAUGGUUUGCUCCUGGAUUGACCUCUAUUGUGCUCAUAAACGGCUCGUGGUGCUUUUUGAUUCCCCCAUCAUCAUGCCUUGACCUCCAGAUUUAUGGUGAAGGUCCUUUCAGCUGUGUAUUGUUUCCCACCAGGCUCAGCCUGCCUCUUUCUGUUGCCAACCUGCCAGGAUGCUGCACUCUUCCUGCUGCCGCCUGAUGAUCCUGCAGCAGUCAAAGUAAAGUUGUGAGGCUUUUUUUUUUUCUCCUUUAUUUUAUUUUACUUUAUUUUAUUUAUUUUUUCCAUUGGCAGCAUUUUAACAAGGCUGGGAUGCUUCUGAGACUGCGAGGGCUGGGAGCUGACAGCUCUCUUCAGAAGAGAAACGCUCUCCCUGCCUCUCUUUCUCUCUCCCCCACAUUUGCACAAAAAACCCCAGGCGUUUUUGUAAGCUGGGAUUUUGCUUCUUGUUCAGGAUUUCCUCUUGCUCUCCCGAGCGACAGACACACACACACACACCGCCUUUGGCUCAUCCACACUGCUUUUGCUUCUCCCCUCCAGAAGUGGCUGCACCGCAGCAGCUACAUCCUACCCACAUUGCAGGCAGUGCACACUCCUGUUGUCCCUCCAGUGAUACCCAAACACUUUUCCAAGACUUUCCCACCCUCAGGGUGCCCGAAGCUGAGGCUGCUGAACCACCCAUGAGUUGGCUGCUGGGUGCUGAGCAGCUCCCAGUCGUGCAAAGGGUACAAAGUGCAAGAUGCAAAUCAUGCUUUCCAUUGCACGUUGGCUCUGUGCGCACUGCAUGACAUCUAUGCUGUGGCUUUCCAGGUUUGGGGUUUUUUUUUUUUGCCUUUUCUUUUUACAGUUGCUCCUUAAGAAGAGGAACGCAGCACUCCUGAAAAAUGCAUUUCUUCCCACCAGCAAUAAUCCUCCUUUAAUCCUAUUUACACCAGGGAAAACAUCCAAGCGGGGGUGGGUGCAGAAGGAGGGUCCCCAUUGCACUCAGACUUUGGGGAUGGAUGGACCAUAGCUCAGCCCCUUCCAGCAAACCCAA